rnacentral:misc_RNA from 1 species
UUUGGUUUGUUACGUGUGGUUGGCUGCGGCGUUUGCAACAACUUCCAUGCUUUCAGACCUCUUCAGUUGUGCGGCAAGGCUUGUAUCGCCUUGAGCGUAUCGUGGGUUUUCUGUGUUGGCUACCUAAUCGACGGUAUCGGUUGGAUUGAUCAAAGUUUGAUUUCGUCUUCCGUCGCAUUCGCGGCGUGAGGUGAACCUCGAUGCGGUCUCUUUGAUCCACCUCGUCGGAGCACAUGCUUUGACGUUGUGGCGCAUUGAGCAUUGCUUGGUCUCUUGUAUACGGAACAUAUAGUGGGCAUGGAUCUAACGAUUCUCGUUUGCCCUCAUAUUAGCGUAACGCUUCUCUUACACGACUUGCUCCACGUUUUAG